UUUGGCGAUGAUAGCUUGUCGGAACCACCUGAUCCCAUUCCGAACUCAGAAGUGAAAC
rnacentral:rRNA from 1 species